rnacentral:rRNA from 1 species
AGAGCGAACGCUGGCGGCAUGCUUAACACAUGCAAGUCGCACGGGCAGGGGCAACUCUGUCAGUGGCGGACGGGUGAGUAACGCGUAGGUAUCUAUCCUUGGGUGGGGGACAACUGUGGGAAACUACAGCUAAUACCGCAUGAUGACCGAGGUCUAAAGGCGUCCGGGGUAACCUGGUGCGUCGCCUGAGGAGGAGCCUGCGUACGAUUAGCUAGUUGGUGGGUAAAGCCUACAAGGCGACGAUCGUUAGCUGGUCUGAGAGGAUGAUCAGCCACAUUGGGACUGAGACACGGCCCAAACUCCUACGGGAGGCAGCAGUGGGGAAUAUUGGACAAUGGGCGCAAGCCUGAUCCAGCAAUGCCGCGUGUGUGAAGAAGGUCUUCGGAUUGUAAAGCACUUUCGACGGGGACGAUGAUGACGGUACCCGUAGAACGAAGCCCGGCUAACUUCGUGCCAGCAGCCGC